rnacentral:rRNA from 1 species
GAUGAACGCUAGCGGCAGGCCUAAUACAUGCAAGGCGAGGGGUUAGCAAUAACACCGUCGUACGGGUGCGUAACGCGUAUGCAACCUACCUAUCACCGGGGGAUAGCCUUUGGAAACAGGGAUUAAUACCGCAUAAUACUGAUAGUCAGCAUUGGUUUUCAGUUAAAGAUUUAUUGGUGAUAGAUGGGCAUGCGUCUGAUUAGUUAGAUGGUGAGGUAACGGCUCACCAUGACGAUGAUCAGUAGGGGGCGUCAGAGCGUGGUCCCCCACACUGGCACUGAGAUACGGGCCAGACUCCUACGGGAGGCAGCAGUAGGGAAUAUUGGGCAAUGGAUGCAAGUCUGACCCAGCCAUGCCGCGUGCAGGAAGAAGGUCCUCUGGAUUGUAAACUGCUUUUGUCGGGGAAGAAUAGGUCUCUUGCGAGGGAUUGUGACGGUACCCGAUGAAUAAGCCACGGCUAACUACGUGCCAGCAGCCGA